AUUGAACGCUGGCGGCAUGCCUAACACAUGCAAGUCGAGCGGAGCGGCGGCCGGGUGAGUACUGCCUAGGAAUCUGCCUGGUAGUGGUGGCUAACGUCCGGAAACGGGCGCUCCUACCGCAUACUCUCCGCUUAGCCUCUGUCGGAUUAGCUAGUUGGUGGGGUAAAGGCCUACCAAGGCGACGAUCCAUAACGGGUCUGAGAGGAGGAUCAGUCACACUGGAACUGAGAGAAGGUCCAGAAUCCGACGGGAGGGAGCAGUGGGGAAUAUUGGACAAUGGGCGAAAGCCUGAGCCAGCCAUGCCGCGUGGGUGAAGAAGGUCUUCGGAUUGUAAAGAACUGUAAGUUGGGAGGCGUUACCAACAGAAUAAGCACCGGCUAACUUCGGGCCAGCAGCCGCGGUAAUUC
rnacentral:rRNA from 1 species